rnacentral:rRNA from 1 species
CAAUAGCGUAUAUUAAAGUUGUUGCAGUUAAAAAGCUCGUAGUUGGACUUGUGCUUGGCCCUGAUGUCCUUUUUGGUACGUUCAGGGCUGUGCAUCCUUGGGUGGAACCUGUGUGGCAUUAGGUUGUCGUGCAGGGGAUGCUCAUCGUUUACUGUGAAAAAAUUAGAGUGUUCAAAGCAGGCUUACGCCGUUGAAUAUAUUAGCAUGGAAUAAUAAGAUAGGACCUUGGUACUAUUUUGUUGGUUUGCGCACCGAGGUAAUGAUUAACAGGGACAGUUGGGGGUAUUCGUAUUCCAUUGUCAGAGGUGAAAUUCUUGGAUUUUUGGAAGACGAACUACUGCGAAAGCAUUUACCAAGGAUGUUUNCAUUA